CUGCAGCCAAUUAAGCUAAGGAUGCUCUCCCCUGGGGGCCUAGUGUGCAGCGGUUGCAAACAGUAGUGUAUGCAGCCCAUUGUUUGUAUUGGUUGCCCUAAGGGUCCUUGGAGACAGCC
ensembl:snoRNA SNORA70 Small nucleolar RNA SNORA70